CUUGCGGACUUCACGAGGAAGAAGACACAUGCAGAGUGGGAGCAAGUUUUAUAUGAUCAUCACGCUUUAGCACGGACAGUGUUAUUUGAUUGAUAUACGAGCCAUUCAGAAGCCACAUUGAUCAACUUAAUACAGUGAGAAUCAGGAGAAAGCGACGUUGUUGCGAAGACUAUAUGUUAAAUGUGCUUUAGAAUUUACUAUUAUUUAUGUCAAUUUCUUGGCAUGAAGGAAUUGAUGGAACACGGACAGUGUUAUCUGAUUGAUAUACGAGCCA
rnacentral:misc_RNA from 1 species